CUAAUACCGGAUAACAUGUUGAACCGCAUGGUUCAACAGUGAAAGACGGUCUUGCUGUCACUUAUAGAUGGAUCCGCGCCGCAUUAGCUAGUUGGUAAGGUAACGGCUUACCAAGGCAACGAUGCGUAGCCGACCUGAGAGGGUGAUCGGCCACACUGGAACUGAGACACGGUCCAGACUCCUACGGGAGGCAGCAGUAGGGAAUCUUCCGCAAUGGGCGAAAGCCUGACGGAGCAACGCCGCGUGAGUGAUGAAGGUCUUCGGAUCGUAAAACUCUGUUAUUAGGGAAGAACAAAUGUGUAAGUAACUAUGCACGUCUUGACGGUACCUAAUCAGAAAGCCACGGCUAACUACGUGCCAGCAGCCGCGGUAAUACGUAGGUGGCAAGCGUUAUCCGGAAUUAUUGGGCGUAAAGCGCGCGUAGGCGGUUUUUUAAGUCUGAUGUGAAAGCCCACGGCUCAACCGUGGAGGGUCAUUGGAAACUGGAAAACUUGAGUGCAGAAGAGGAAAGUGGAAUUCCAUGUGUAGCGGUGAAAUGCGCAGAGAUAUGGAGGAACACCAGUGGCGAAGGCGACUUUCUGGUCUGUAACUGACGCUGAUGUGCGAAAGCGUGGGGAUCAAACAGGAUUAGAUACCCUGGUAGUCCACGCCGUAAACGAUGAGUGCUAAGUGUUAGGGGGUUUCCGCCUCUUAGUGCUGCAGCUAACGCAUUAAGUACUCCGCCUGGGGAGUACGACCGCAAGGUUGAUACUCAA
rnacentral:rRNA from 1 species